rnacentral:rRNA from 1 species
AAUGCAAGCCUUUCUACACGGUGAAACGCGAACGGCUCAUUAAAUCAGUCAUAAUCCGUUGGAUAAUAUGGAACCGUGUCCUUACUCGGAUAACKGUGGUAAUUCUAGAGCUAAUACAUGCCACGAGUUCCCAAAGUGCUUCGCGUAACAUUAGUAGGACGCAAUUAUUAGAUCCAAAAAUUUGCUUUAAAACUUGGUGUAAAGUUUGGUGAUUCUGGAUAAUAGGAGCAGAGCGCUUAAUUUUUGCCGGCGCCAUACCUAUGAAGGGACUGCCCUAUCAGCUUGAUUGUAUAUUAAAUGUUUACAAUGGCUAUAACGGGUAACGGGAAAUCAGGGUUCGAUUCCGGARAGGGAGCCUGAGAAACGGCUACCACAUYUAAGGAAGGCASCAGGCACGYWAAUUGCUCAAUCUUAGCUCAAGGAAGCAGUGACAAAAUAUCUUGAUGCGGAACUCUUCCGAGGCCUCGCAAUCAGGAUGCGUUUACUUAAAAAAGUAAGCUGAACGCAAUUGGAGGGCAAGUCUGGUGCCCCAACCGCGGAAUUCCAGCUCCAUUACCGUAUAUUUAAGUUGAUGAGGUUAAAAAGCUCGUAUUUGGACUUUAUGCUCAGGCACCCAGGCCCC